rnacentral:rRNA from 1 species
UAGUCUGAGAGGAUGAUCAGCCACACUGGGACUGAGACACUGCCCAGACUCCUACGGGAGGCUGCAGUCGAGGAUCAUUCGCAAUGCGCGAAAGCGUGACGAUGCGACGCUGCGUGGAGGAUGAAGGCCCUUGGGUCGUAAACUCCUGUCAUUCGGGAAAAGUACUCUCAAGAACAAUACUCUUGGGAAUUGAUGGUACCGAAAGAGGAAGCCACGGCUAACUCUGUGCCAGCAGCCGCGGUAAUACAGAGGUGGCAAGCGUUGUUUGGAUUUACUGGGCGUAAAGGGUGCGUAGGUGGCAAUGUAUGUCGGAUGUGGAAUCCCACGGCUCAACCGUGGAACUGCAUUCGAAACUGCAUAGCUAGAGUGUAGGAGGGGAGAGCGGAAUUCUUGGUGUAGCGGUGAAAUGCGUUGAUAUCAAGAAGAACACCGGUGGCGAAGGCGGCUCUCUGGAAUACUACUGACACUGAUGCACGAAAGCUGGGGGAGCAAACAGGAUUAGAUACCCUGGUAGUCCCAGCCGUAAACGGUGUGAACUUGGUGUAGGGGGUAUUGACCCCCCCUGUGCCGGAGCUAACGCGUUAAGUUCACCGCCUGGGGAGUACGGCCGCAAGGCUAAAACUCAAAGAAAUUGACGGGGGCCCGCACAAGCGGAGGAGCAUGUGGCUUAAUUCGAUGCAACGCGAAGAACCUUACCAGGGCUUGACAUGGCGACCCUUCGGGGGUGGAAGUGAAGGCUUCCUUUACGAUCACAGGUGCUGCAUGGCUGUCGUCAGUUCGUGCCGUGAGGUGUUUGGUUAAGUCCAGCAACGAACGCAACCCCUGUGUUUAGUUGCCACUUCGACUUCGGUCGGAAGCACUCUAAACAGACUGCCCGUACAAGCGGGAGGAAGGUGGGGAUGACGUCAAGUCAGUAUGGCCCUUACGCCCUGGGCUGCACACGUGCUACAAUGGUCGGUACAAAGGGGUGCAAUAUCGCAAGGUGGAGCUAAUCCUCAAAGCCGGCCCCAGUUCGGAUUGGAGUCUGCAACUCGACUCCAUGAAGUUGGAUUCGCUAGUAACGGCGUAUCAGCUACGACGCCGUGAAUACGUUCCCGGGCCUUGUACACACCGCCCGUCACAUCAUGAAAGCCGUCUGCACCCGAAGUCGCUGAGCCAACCCGCAAGGGAGGCAGGUGCCGAAGGUGUGGGUGGUGAUUGGGAUGAAGUCGUAACAAGGUA